GGACGUUACAAAGUUCUAUACAACCAGCAAAAUUUGGAGAUCUCCCUGUUAUGAUUUCUUUGGAGGUUCAGGAAAAAGAUUGAAAUGACCCUAUCCUUGGCCAAUGAGGCUGUUUUUGAGUUCUGUAAAUUCGUUAAUCUUGAAGAGAAGACAAGUAAACAGCAGCAAUUAUGAUUAAAACAGGCAGUACUAGGAAUAGAUGCUUUGAGCUCAAAACGGCUACAUCAAUUCUUCUCAUGGUCUCUAAAUCAGAUUCAAUAGCAGCGGAAUUGCC
rnacentral:misc_RNA from 1 species